CAGUCGCCGCGGGAAUACGGAGGGAGCUAGCGUUGUUCGGAAUUACUGGGCGUAAAGCGCGCGUAGGCGGCUAUUCAAGUCAGAGGUGAAAGCCCGGGGCUCAACCCCGGAACUGCCUUUGAAACUAGAUAGCUAGAAUCUUGGAGAGGCGAGUGGAAUUCCGAGUGUAGAGGUGAAAUUCGUAGAUAUUCGGAAGAACACCAGUGGCGAAGGCGACUCGCUGGACAAGUAUUGACGCUGAGGUGCGAAAGCGUGGGGAGCAAACAGGAUUAGAUACCCGCGUAGUCCCUGUCUCUUAUAC
rnacentral:rRNA from 1 species